UAAUAAGUAGUUUAAGGAAAAACGAUAGGUUGUGGUUCUAUAAAUAGGGUUAUUACUCUUAUUAG
rnacentral:tRNA from 1 species